UACAGAGGGUGCGAGCGUUAAUCGGAGUUACUGGGCGUAAAGGGCGCGUAGGCGGAUAUAUGAGUGUGAUGUGAAAGCCCUGGGCUUAACCCGGGAAGUGCAUCGCAAACGAUAUAACUGGAGUGCAAGAGAGGGUGGCGGAAUUUCCGGUGUAGCGGUGAAAUGCGUAGAGAUCGGAAGGAACGCCGAUGGCGAAGGCAGCCACCUGGCUUGACACUGACGCUGAGGCGCGAAAGCGUGGGUAGCGAACAGG
rnacentral:rRNA from 1 species